GAUGAACGCUGACGGCGUGCUUAACACAUGCAAGUCGAACGGAAAGGCCCAAGCUUGCUUGGGUACUCGAGUGGCGAACGGGUGAGUAACACGUGGGUGAUCUGCCCUGCACUUCGGGAUAAGCCUGGGAAACUGGGUCUAAUACCGGAUAGGACGAUGGUUUGGAUGCCAUUGUGGAAAGUUUUUUCGGUGUGGGAUGAGCUCGCGGCCUAUCAGCUUGUUGGUGGGGUAAUGGCCUACCAAGGCGUCGACGGGUAGCCGGCCUGAGAGGGUGUACGGCCACAUUGGGACUGAGAUACGGCCCAGACUCCUACGGGAGGCAGCAGUGGGGAAUAUUGCACAAUGGGCGCAAGCCUGAUGCAGCGACGCCGCGUGGGGGAUGACGGCCUUCGGGUUGUAAACUCCUUUCGCUAGGGACGAAGCGUUUUUGUGACGGUACCUGGAGAAGAAGCACCGGCUAACUACGUG
rnacentral:rRNA from 1 species